rnacentral:rRNA from 1 species
CCAGCAGCCGCGGUAAUUCCAGCUCCAAUAGCGUAUAUUAAAGUUGUUGCAGUUAAAAAGCUCGUAGUUGAACCUUGGGCCUGGUUGGCCGGUCCGCCUCACCGCGUGCACUGGUCCGACCGGGUCUUUCCUUCUGGGGAGCCGCAUGCCCUUCACUGGGUGUGUCGGGGAACCAGGACUUUUACUUUGAAAAAAUUAGAGUGUUCAAAGCAGGCCUAUGCUCGAAUACAUUAGCAUGGAAUAAUAGAAUAGGACGUGUGGUUCUAUUUUGUUGGUUUCUAGGACCGCCGUAAUGAUUAAUAGGGAUAGUCGGGGGCAUCAGUAUUCAAUUGUCAGAGGUGAAAUUCUUGGAUUUAUUGAAGACUAACUACUGCGAAAGCAUUUGCCAAGGAUGUUUUCAUUAAUCAGUGAACGAAAGUUAGGGGAUCGAAGACGAUCAGAUACCGUCGUAGUCUUAACCAUAAACUAUGCCGACUAGGGAUCGGGCGAUGUUAUCUUUUUGACUCGCUCGGCACCUCACGAGAAAUCAAAGUCUUUGGGUCUGGG